AAUUCUAUAGCGUGGGUUACAAAACUUUCACUUAUAUCUUCCGUUAGAAGUAGAACAAGAUUUUCAAGAGGGAGAUCCAUAAAACAAAACUCUUCAUUAUCCACAUUAGACCUUGCUAACCAAUCAACACAGCGGUUUGAACUUCUUCCAUAUACUAGAAUGCUAUCUUUGAAUCAGUCUCAACUAUCACUCUGCGCAUACCCAUGUCCCAUGCCAUACGGAGGCCAUGGAGCAUCCCCCAUAUUUCAGCUUGAUCAAUAUCACAUUUCUCCAAUCUAGUUUUGAAGCCGCCGAUCCAUUCUUCCAGGUUAGUUCUUAGUAGCCCUCCACAAGAUGCUUUAGAAUUUGUUGACUUUAUAGAUCCAUCUAUGUUGAGUUUAACCCAACCUUGAGGAGGUGGUUGCCAUUUUAUUUGGAUGUUCUCUGUUUUACAGUGUUUUACGAGCUUUAGUUUUCUGUAAGCUUCUGUGUUUCUUUGUAUUUGAAUUUUGAUGACAUCAAGAGUGUUGUGAGGCCUCUUAUUCAGGGGAGAGAAGAUCUCUAUACAUCGUCAUUUCUAUAGCCACCAACAUGUAGUUAAAAAGUAAUCUUUCCAUUUUCCUUGAGUUGAAUUUCCUAACUCAUUUUCUAAGUUAAGUUUCAUCCACUUUUUCAAUUGGCCAAUAAAAAAGAUAGGGAUAGAGCUAGGAUUUAGAAGCUUUACCCAUAGAGAAGAAACUCCAGGACAAUCUCUUAGAGCAUGAAUAGUUGUUUCUGAUUGACCCUAGCAGAUUUGGCAUAAAUCUGAUGUUUCCAAAAAUCUGACUCUUCUGCUAGAUGUGAGGAUUCUGUUAUCCAUAUAUAGCUUGCCAAAUAAAUAUUUUAAUCCUCUCCUGUCCCUUCCAUUUUCAUAUGAUCUUCUAUAGGAAAUUUUUAUCUAUAUUAAAUUGGGCCAUUUGUUGAUAAGCUGAUGCUAUUGUGAAAUUUUUGUGAGGUGUGUGAUCCCAACAAAUACUAUCUUCAUCAUUUUCAGGCUUGGGUACUAGGACUUUAUUAAUACUUCUGACACCAUCCUCAUCAAAAAAUUGUUUUAAAAUAUCUAUAUUCCAGCCACCAUUUUGCAUUACAUAAGUGUUGACUUUUAAAUGUAUUAGAUCAUUUGGGAUAUUCUUACUUGUUGCCUGCCUUAGAACAUUCUUUUCUUUUAUCCAUUUGUCAUUCCAAAACUCUACUUGAUCACUCUUGCUCAUCAACCAAUGUGUGUUUUCCUUUAGGAAAGACCCAAGCUUAACUAGCUCCUUCCAUAGGGGGGAGUUCGAUUUUUUGCCGGUUAAGCCACUCCUCUAACUCUGCUAUACACUAUAUAGCUCUUGAAUCACUUCUCUCCAUAGUGACCUUUCUCUGUUAGAAGCCUCCAAAAGAUUUUUACCAAAAAUGUGUCGUUCAUUAUACUGAGAUUUUUGAAACCUAACCCACCAUAAGGCUUGGGAAGCCAAAGAGUUAUCCAGUUCAAAAAAUACAUCUUCCUUUGUUGUUCUAUAUCCCCCCAUAUGAAAUUAUGUUGUGUUUUCUCAAUUUCUUGGCACACCCCUUUUGGUAGUCUUGUAUAUUGCAUUUCAUAGUUGGCAAUAGGGGUCAUGCCCAAGGCUUUGAAAACCAGUCGAAUUGUGAACCAUUGCAAAAAAUGAAUCGGUUAAAUGCAAAAACCGACAAUUUCAAAAACUGCUAUUAAACCGUUGAACUGGCCGGGAACCGGUGAACCAAACCGUGAUCCGGCCGGUUUUUUGAAUUGGGAAGCAAAUGGCGCCGUUUCGUUGAUUCUGAAUCAAUGAACCCUAACUCUUCCACUACUCAUCUACUCCAUUAGUCCAGUCUCCAGAGCUCCUAGUCCUCCCUCACGUCCAUCCAGCCAUCGCCUGCUACUGCCGCUGUCGGAACUUCCAGCUUUGAAGGGCCACCGCCUGCCCCCUCACUUUCCCUUCAUCGCGCAGCAGCCGUCACAACCUUCCUUCCCCUCCAUUGCACAGCCACCGUGCGAACGUGGAAGCCUCCAUCAUGCAGUCACUGUCUGUCGGUGCCAGCUCUGUUCCAUUGCAGCCACUGCCUGUUCAAAGGCCGUUCGAAGCCCAUUCGAAGGUGAACCUUGUCAUGGUGUCUCCCUCUUGCGUGCUCUGUUCAAGGCUUAUAGCUUCUAGGUAAUUUUUUUAACUAUAAUUGAAUAAUUUGUUGUUACUGUGAAGUUCUGUAAAUUGUGAACCGUGAACUGUGAGCUAUGUCUAUGAUUUAAAUUUUUUAUUUUUCUAUGAACUGUGAACUGAACUGUGAACUUUGUUGAAUGAUUGUUGAAUAAUUAUGAAUAAUUAUUGUUAGUUAAGUUGUGAA